CCGAGCUGUGCGUGCCCUGUACGUGCUCCUCAGACACGCUCGAGCCGCGGACCGAGAGAGAUCAUUUGUCGAUGGUGGAAAAGCUAACGCGACAGUAGCAGCCUUUUGUGGAGAAAUUCUGAGAUUUGAUAUUGAGAGAUUCAAGGCUGUGAACCCUCGUGAGCUGGAAUUCCCCUGCUGCGCGUGGUGCUUAGCAUGGACAGAACACCAAACCUGGAGUCGGGACAGAGGACAGCUAUUUCACCAUUUAUCUGUCAGUCCUGCCUGCCAGUCUCUCAGCGCUGAGGUCCAACACAAACAGCGUCUCAUGCAGGU